rnacentral:rRNA from 1 species
AUUGAACGCUGGCGGCAUGCCUUACACAUGCAAGUCGAACGGCAGCGGGGACUUCGGUCCGCCGGCGAGUGGCGAACGGGUGAGUAAUGUAUCGGAACGUACCUUUCAGUGGGGGAUAACGUAGCGAAAGUUACGCUAAUACCGCAUAUUCUCUGAGGAGGAAAGCAGGGGACCUUCGGGCCUUGCGCUGAUGGAGCGGCCGAUAUCAGAUUAGCUAGUUGGUGGGGUAAAGGCUCACCAAGGCUACGAUCUGUAGCGGGUCUGAGAGGAUGAUCCGCCACACUGGGACUGAGACACGGCCCAGACUCCUACGGGAGGCAGCAGUGGGGAAUCUUGGACAAUGGGCGAAAGCCUGAUCCAGCCAUGCCGCGUGAGUGAAGAAGGCCUUCGGGUUGUAAAGCUCUUUCGGACGGGAAGAAAUCAUGAGGGCUAAUAUCCCUUGUGGAUGACGGUACCGUAAUAAGAAGCACCGGCUAACUACGUGCCAGCAGCCGCCGUAA